UACGGGGGGAGCAAGCGUUGUUCGGAUUUACUGGGCGUAAAGGGCGCGUAGGCGGCCACCGCAAGUCGACUGUGAAAUCUCUCGGCUCAACCGAGAAACGUCGGCUGAUACUGCCGUUCUUGAGGGAUGCAGAGGAGACUGGAAUUCCCGGUGUAGCGGUGAAAUGUGUAGAGAUCGGGAGGAACACCGGUGGCGAAGGCGGGUCUCUGGGCAUUUCCUGACGCUGAGGCGCGAAAGCGUGGGGAGCAAACGGG
rnacentral:rRNA from 1 species